UACAGAGGGUGCGAGCGUUGUUCGGAAUUAUUGGGCGUAAAGCGCUUGUAGGCGGCACGUCAAGUCGCGUGUGAAAUCCCCAGGCUUAACCUGGGAAGUGCGCGCGAAACUGACGAGCUUGAGUGCCGGAGAGGGUCGCGGAAUUCCCGGUGUAGAGGUGAAAUUCGUAGAUAUCGGGAGGAACACCUGUGGCGAAAGCGGCUCACUGGACCAUAACUGACGCUGAGGUGCGAAAGCGUGGGGAGCAAACAGG
rnacentral:rRNA from 1 species